UCACCUGACGAACAAAGUCUACGUCAAAAAUGACGUCUAUGUCAAUCAUCUCUAAUCACGUGACAUUCUUGGAACAAUGGCUGACAUCAUCUUGCGCUGAGAAACAAUCCAAUCGCUAUUGCGCGACAUUUAGCGCUGCCUGAAUGAUGGUCGUCGCAUUGAAACUAUUAAAUUGUUCUUUAAGCGGGAAUGACCAAUAUCUAGCCUGAAAACCGAAACAAAGUAUAUUUAUUCCCCUCUGCGAACGGAAUAUCGGGAGCGGUCAGAGAUCGCUCCCCAUAUCCCGGAAUAAUGGAAAGAAGCAAAAUGAAAAUUAAUGCGGGUAUACUGUAAGCGAUAAAGCAAAUUCGCUCAGAUGAUCAUAUAUGUAUCACACACGUCGAAGAGGCAUCUGCAUAGACUAUUUAACGUAAUGAUAUCGGGAGAGGUGAGAAGCCGCUCGCGGUUCCUUAGCGUUCUCAGAUUGUUCCAAAUCGAUCGAUUCGAUGACAUUUCGAGUACCCCUGAUGUGCGGAAUAAAAACACCUACGCAAGCAUUCGUUUAAUGCCGUGCUUUGAGCUAAACGUAUAUGUUGGCUUAAUUAAAUUGCUCGAGAUUUGGCGAACCCACAGAUAAAAACGCGACUGGCGUCACUAUGAAACGAGAUGCAAAGUCGAUCGGCAUGCGCAAUAAGUAUUCGCCGAAACAGCCAAGAAAUGCGUAUAUGCACCGUGAGAUCAUGCGCGCUGACAAACCAAAUACGACUUCGGAACAGUUAUCGCUAAAAAGAACGCAUGGCAUAGUCUGUAUAGAAGUGGCCUACGCAAUGAAAGGACCCGGCAUCGAGUCACGUGAAGACAGAGUUAUCCGAAGACAAAAAGCGCCGUAAAGGAUAGAAGUGAGAAAACUCCUAAGAAGGGAAAAAAAAUCAGCAAAGAGAAAUAAAUAUUUUGCUUCCCGAUAGAUGGCGGCGACAUGCGAAGUCGCGCUUUCUCUUACGGCGAUUCGCCGAUCGUAAGCUACGUUCUCGAUAUAGGACACUCUCCCCGGGUAGAUCAGUUCCAUUGUUCUUUUUGUCGAUACACAGAAAUUCUUUCAUCAAACAUUCGUCACUCUCAUUCUAGCCGCCAUUACUAACGUGCG
rnacentral:lncRNA from 1 species